UACGUAGGGUGCAAGCGUUGUCCGGAAUUAUUGGGCGUAAAGAGCUCGUAGGCGGUCUGUCGCGUCUGCUGUGAAAACUCAGGGCUUAACCCUGAGCUUGCAGUGGGUACGGGCAGACUAGAGUGCGGUAGGGGAGACUGGAAUUCCUGGUGUAGCGGUGAAAUGCGCAGAUAUCAGGGAGGAACACCGGUGGCGAAGGCGGGUCUCUGGGCCGUAACUGACGCU
rnacentral:rRNA from 1 species